GAUGAAGAACGUAGCAAAAUGCGAUAAGUAAUGUGAAUUGCAGAAUUCAGUGAAUCAUCGAAUCUUUGAACGCACAUUGCGCCCGCUGGUAUUCCUGCGGGCAUGCCUGUUCGAGCGUCAUUUCAACCCUCAAGCCCCCGGGUUUGGUGUUGGGGAUCGGCUCUGCCUUCUGGCGGUGCCGCCCCCGAAAUACAUUGGCGGUCUCGCUGCAGCCUCCAUUGCGUAGUAGCUAACACCUCGCAACUGGAACGCGGCGCGGCCAUGCCGUAAAACCCCAACUUCUGAAUGUUGACCUCGGAUCAGGUAGGAAUACCCGCUGAACUUAAGCAUAUCAAUAAGCGGAGGA
rnacentral:misc_RNA from 1 species